AGAGCAAGCGGAGAGCAAGCGGACCUCAUAAAGUGCGUCGUAGUCCGGAUUGGAGUCUGCAACUCGACUCCAUGAAGUCGGAAUCGCUAGUAAUCGUGGAUCAGAAUGCCACGGUGAAUACGUUCCCGGGCCUUGUACACACCGCCCGUCACACCAUGGGAGUGGGUUGCAAAAGAAGUAGGUAGCUUAACCUUCGGGAGGGCGCUUACCACUUUGUGAUUCAUGACUGGGGUGAAGUCGUAACAAGGUAACCGUAGGGGAACCUGCGGUUGGAUCACCUCCUUA
rnacentral:rRNA from 1 species